AAAGAAUGUAAAGUGUUAAUUGACGUGAAUUCAGAGUUCCGCAGGAUCAAAGCGGAUGGACAAGGACGAGAAAGGCAUAGGACUAUCGAGCGCUCGUUCUA
rnacentral:sRNA from 1 species